UAAGACAGAGGGUGCAAACGUUGCUCGGAAUUACUGGGCGUAAAGCGCGUGUAGGCGGUUACGCGAGUCAGGUGUGAAAGCCCGGGGCUCAACCCCGGAAGUGCACUUGAUACUACGUAGCUGGAGUCCUGUAGAGGAGAGCGGAAUUCCCGGUGUAGAGGUGAAAUUCGUAGAUAUCGGGAGGAACACCAGUGGCGAAGGCGGCUCUCUGGACAGGUACUGACGCUGAGACGCGAAAGCGUGGGUAGCAAACAGGAUUAGAUACCCUGGUAGUCCACGCUGUAAACGAUGAGAACUGGGUGUUGCGGGUAUUGACCCCCGCGGUGCCGAAGCCAACGCGUUAAGUUCUCCGCCUGGGAAGUACGGCCGCAAGGCUA
rnacentral:rRNA from 1 species